rnacentral:rRNA from 1 species
AGAGUUUGAUCAUGGCUCAGAUUGAACGCUGGCGGCAGGCCUAACACAUGCAAGUCGAACGGUAACAGGAAGCAGCUUGCUGCUUUGCUGACGAGUGGCGGACGGGUGAGUAAUGUCUGGGAAACUGCCUGAUGGAGGGGGAUAACUACUGGAAACGGUGGCUAAUACCGCAUAACGUCGCAAGACCAAAGAGGGGGACCUUCGGGCCUCUUGCCAUCAGAUGUGCCCAGAUGGGAUUAGUUUGUUGGUGAGGUAACGGCUCACCAAGGCGACGAUCCCUAGCUGGUCUGAGAGGAUGACCAGCCACACUGGAACUGAGACACGGUCCAGACUCCUACGGGAGGCAGCAGUGGGGAAUAUUGCACAAUGGGCGCAAGCCUGAUGCAGCCAUGCCGCGUGUAUGAAGAAGGCCUUCGGGUUGUAAAGUACUUUCAGCGGGGAGGAAGGUGUUGUGGUUAAUAACCACAGCAAUUGACGUUACCCGCAGAAGAAGCACCGGCUAACUCCGUGCCAGCAGCCGCGGUAAUACGGAGGGUGCAAGCGUUAAUCGGAAUUACUGGGCGUAAAGCGCACGCAGGCGGUCUGUCAAGUCGGAUGUGAAAUCCCCGGGCUCAACCUGGGAACUGCAUUCGAAACUGGCAGGCUUGAGUCUUGUAGAGGGGGGUGGAAUUCCAGGUGUAGCGGUGAAAUGCGUAGAGAUCUGGAGGAAUACCGGUGGCGAAGGCGGCCCCCUGGACAAAGACUGACGCUCAGGUGCGAAAGCGUGGGGAGCAAACAGGAUUAGAUACCCUGGUAGUCCACGCCGUAAACGAUGUCUACUUGGAGGUUGUGCCCUUGAGGCGUGGCUUCCGGAGCUAACGCGUUAAGUAGACCGCCUGGGGAGUACGGCCGCAAGGUUAAAACUCAAAUGAAUUGACGGGGGCCCGCACAAGCGGUGGAGCAUGUGGUUUAAUUCGAUGCAACGCGAAGAACCUUACCUGGUCUUGACAUCCACGGAAGUUUUCAGAGAUGAGAAUGUGCCUUCGGGAACCGUGAGACAGGUGCUGCAUGGCUGUCGUCAGCUCGUGUUGUGAAAUGUUGGGUUAAGUCCCGCAACGAGCGCAACCCUUAUCCUUUGUUGCCAGCGGUCCGGCCGGGAACUCAAAGGAGACUGCCAGUGAUAAACUGGAGGAAGGUGGGGAUGACGUCAAGUCAUCAUGGCCCUUACGACCAGGGCUACACACGUGCUACAAUGGCGCAUACAAAGAGAAGCGACCUCGCGAGAGCAAGCGGACCUCAUAAAGUGCGUCGUAGUCCGGAUUGGAGUCUGCAACUCGACUCCAUGAAGUCGGAAUCGCUAGUAAUCGUGGAUCAGAAUGCCACGGUGAAUACGUUCCCGGGUCUUGUACACACCGCCCGUCACACCAUGGGAGUGGGUUGCAAAAGAAGUAGGUAGCUUAACCUUCGGGAGGGCGCUUACCACUUUGUGAUUCAUGACUGGGGUGAAGUCGUAACAAGGUAACCGUAGGGGAACCUGCGGUUG